AAGUCGUAACAAGGUAUCCGUAGGUGAACCUGCGGAUGGAUCAUUAUCACGUUAUCCACGUAUAAACCAAUCUGUGAACUGUUCUUGCCUUUGGAGAUGUUGAGUAUGGUAGAGUCAAUGGAUGAGAUGAACUAAUGUGAAUACUCAUUCGAUUCUAUCGAUUUCAAUUUGGUUUCGGCCAAUUGGAAAGCUCAUAUUUCUAAAGUGUAUAUCUAAAAAAAUUCACUUUAUUAACCACUUGAACCAAUCUAAUAUUUUAUUCUCUGUGUGAACUGAAUUGUUUCUUACUCAUUUAACCGUGAGAAGAAAUUAUUUACGAAACAUAUAGAACAACUCUUAGCAACGGAUAUCUUGGUUCUCGUAACGAUGAAAAACGCAGC
rnacentral:misc_RNA from 1 species